rnacentral:tRNA from 1 species
UCUCCGGUGGUCCAAUGGUUAGGACUUUGCCUUUCAAUUCAGGGGGUGCAGGUUCUAGUCCUGAUUGGAGAG